UACCUAUGUAAUCCCAUUGUUGGAGA
rnacentral:piRNA from 1 species